UUUUUUUUUUUUGCGGGUAACAUUCAUGCUAGUUAUUCCUAGGUCAACCAUACUUGGCUACACCCAGUAGUCAGUACGUGAAGUAAGUUAGUUACAGUGGGUACAGUAAGACAGCAGUGCAAGUGCACCUACCUUUGGCCGGAAGCUGUACCAACGGGAAAACGCCAUGGCACGGCAUCCCCACAGGCCACGGAGACGAACGUAGCGUUGGGGUGGGUUGGAUGGGUGCGCGCGCCCGUGGCCGUGGCCGUGGCGGAGCGGAGGCUGUAAGGAUGCGUUUGGUUAGCGGGAUAGAUUUAGGUGGUUAUGGGUAUCCCCAUCCAACUGGCUAGGGAUAGCCAUAUUUUAUGUUUGGUAGAAAGGAUGAUAAAUGGCUAUAGAUAGGCAACCUUGUGUUUGGUUGAAAGGAUAAGAGAUGGAUAGACUUGUUGACAUGACCUCUUUCUCAUGAGGUGGUGAGAUUAUCCUCUAAUGAAGAUGCACUUUCUACUACUAUGAACCAUUGGGGAUAUUUAAAUGCAGAUUAUACACCUGGUUCUUAACAACUACUUUGAGACAAAAACAAACUGAUCCCAAAAAGAUCUCGAUUACACAAUUUGAAUUCAUAUUCUGGAAUUGUUUCGUCAGUUCCUAAUGGUGGUUUGACCUACGUGCGCCAGCAUCAAACGAGCAGAACAUGCCCUUGCAAUCAAAUGAGAAAGAGGAUUAGCACUAAUACAACCGGCCGGCGCAUGUACGCAACAGUUGGUCGGCACAGAGCACGCACACGGACAUGACACACCCAGCCGGCGCAGAGCAGGCACACCCAGCCGGCGCAGAGCAGGCACACCCAGCCGGUGCAGACAAGGCACACCACACAAGCACAUCGGCCGGAGAGAGGAGUCUGGUGUCACCGGGUGCCCUGCUCCGUACCUCUGCCGCCACAUCUCUAUCUAUGGACGCUGCUGGGGAGAAAAACGAUUGGAGGUAGGGCGGUGCGCCGAGCGAAGGCCGGCUGCCCAUAUCCGCCACUUUUCGCCGGUUCCGCACAUCCAGUUUUUGAGGGCAUAUACAUGGAAUCUGGCUAUCCCCACCCACCUAAAUUAGUGAACCAAACGCCCGCUAUCCAUCUAAAAACUGGCUAUCCCUAGCCAAUCGAGGGAUAGCCCACCAACCAAACGCACCCUAAAGCGGAGCGAUCCAGCCGGAGCCUCCCGGGGUUUGUCAGUUGUCACGCACUCGGCACAAAGCGCUCGUCUUUCGGCCGCCUUAUCGCGACCGGCACGUCCGUCCGUCCGUCCGUCGGGCACGUUCUCGCUGGUCCCCCUCGGGCCGGUCUUGCUCCUCCGCACCUGCCCGCUCGCCUCGCCGGACAAAAAGGCCGCUCGCUCCUCUGUAAAGGUGGCGUUAAGAAUUCUCUCUCUCUUCUUUCGAGGAGCGCAGCUGCCGCCGGCCAUUGCUGUUGCCCGGGCCUCCGGUUCCACGGAUCAGGGGACCCGACCAGACCAGCUUUGCACUGUAGUAGUCCUGCAGUGGAAGCAGCUACGUACAGUACUUCUUCGAUAGCUGAGCUAGCGCGGCGGCGGUAAUAAAGACCGGCUGUCCUGUCACGGUCGCGAGUGGCAUGUCGGCUCGCAGGGCCGACCGCGGCGCAGCCGAGCGGGAGAUCCGUCCACGGUUGGCAUAUCCAUGGGCCAUGGCAAGGCAUCAACGGGCGAGAGAGCGACGGGGAGGAGUGAGGGAGGAAGAGAGCGUCGUGGCCUUCCAUGCCGGUAGAACCUGGCCCCGGUCUGCGCCGUAAGCGGAAAGGAUUGGGGCAAUGGCCAAUGGGGGCUCUAGUGCUCUCCAGCCAUACAGACUACUCGACUACUGCGUCGGCGGGGGACCAACGGGGCCGGCGCACAUGCACGUAGAGGUAGAGAGCCAUGGCAUGGAGGCAAUCGAGAUUACUGGACGGAAGACGGAGCAGAGACAAGACACGCAUGCUUUCUUUCUCGAGUACUGGUACUGGAUUGAGUACAUGUCUGGACCACCGGCCACCGCGCUCGCUAGGCUGCGCUACGCAGCUCCCUUUAAAUGGCCGGGAGCCUCCUUGCCGUUUUCGCCUCUCUGUCCGCAUCUGCUGCCGCCGGGUGUGCCGGCCGGUCCUUGCACCAGAGCGGUACUGCAUCGGCAUCGGCAUCGACACUGCUCUCCGCUUGUUCUGAAUGCUGGGUUUGUCUAGUGCUGUGACGGUACGAGAGUAACGGAGUACGUGCGUGUUACUCGAUCACGAAAAUGACCAUGGCAAUUCUGAAUUACGGCACGGCAAAUCCGCAGCCGACGCACGGAAACGCCAUGGGAAACCACGUGCAAGAACCGUAUCGGUUUCUGUACACCUAAGCACGUGGGCGGGGCUUUGGAUUUUGGUCCGACAACGGCGAACCGGAUCACCGAUAGUGUACAGAGACAAACGAGCCGGCGAUAUUAUUAUUAUUAUUUAAAAAAAAUUACAGGCAGAAGAGUACAAGAGAGACUCCGUUUCUUUUCUCUCCCACGGAGCCAUGCAUGGACAGCGGUAACGACAUGAACACAGUACACGCUCCUAGAUCUGGGACAAGAUGAAGAAAUCCACCCCCAAUGAUCACGGCGAUCAUCUCGCCGGCCGGGCAGCACUGUACCUCCAUCCUGAAUCCUGAUUGGAGUUCAGUUUGACCAUAGCUUAGGGCCUGUUUAGUUUCAAUAAAUCAUCUGAUUUAUAAGUCAGGUGACUUAAAACCAGUGACUUAGGUUGGUCAUAGUGGGGAGUAACUUAGACUAGUAACAUACAUAUGUUACUAGUCUAUGUUACUACCUUCAUAGUGGGUAGUGUCAUAGGUGUGGUAACAUAGUUGCCUUCAUUUAUUACUUUGUAGACUCAUUAUGCAUUGGAAACCGCUAUGUAAUGGUAAUAUAUUAUGUUACUCUAUUUGCAUCUUUCCUCAUUAACUACUUGCCACAUCAUCAUUUUUGCUUAUGUGGCAUCUAUGUUACUACCUAUGUUACUCCCACUAUGACCAGCCUUAUAAGUCAUGCCUGUUUGGUUGUCGCCUGACUUAUAAGUCAGGUGAGCACACCUUCCCAUCUUGUUUUUUAAUGUAAAGGUGGUGGGACCCAUGCAAAAGGGGGUGACUUAUAAGUUUUAAGUUGGGAUGGAGCAACUUAUGACUUAUAAGUUAGGAUGACUUAUAAGUUAGGUCUGUUUGAUAAAAUAAGUCACUUUUUGCACUUUUCGACUUAUAAGUUGAUGACUUAUUUGAAACCAAACAGGUCCUUAGCUUAGCUUAGCUUAGCUUGUGUCCGGCGAUGAUGGACAUGGGACGGGGCAGAGGGGAAGCAUCAUGUGCCCAUGAUUGUGCCUGUCCAUGGCGGAGCGCUCUGAUCCCAGCGCGCACACGUGAAUCGUGUGCGCAUACAUUUGAAAUACACACGCACAGUCUGUGCUGUAGCGGCCUAAAGACUCUGAAUUCUGAUUGACGCGUGUGCUAUUAAUGGUACUGUAGUUAGUCAUCAUACACUAACACGGUUUAUUGUACAACAUGGGCUCGGGCGCGGCACAUUAUUAUUCACCAAAAACGUGGAGGAAACAUGGUAAUGGAUCGGUUAAGGUGUGUCGUCGAUGGUGAUUUAUUACAGGGUCUCGUCAGGGUCGUCGAUGGAUGACGACAUGAACUACGUAUGUUAUACGUGGUUCAUCCCCGGACGGUGACAAGGAUAUGCGACAACAAUUGGACAAGUCGUGGAGUAUUUUCUCUGGCCUUUUGUGGUAACUUCUUCACACACCCAAAAUGAGAUUUGCGUAUGUGGCAUCCGUGAGCUGCUACGACGCCGACGCUGUCCCGAAAGAUCCAAAAAUAACAGUUCGAUAAGAUUACCACUAGCAGACCACGUGUUCAUCACGACGCGGUUCUGACUUGUGAGGCAGCCAGCUACUUUUGCCAAGGAAGUGUGCUAUGUUUGCCGAAAGCUAGGAGGAUUUCAUCGCCUUUUUACUUUAACAAAUGGCCUUGUUGUUAAUCACGCCCCACAAGUUCAGUAGCUGAAGAUUAACCUCAGCUUUGAUCGUCGUAUCUGGCUAAAGAAGGAUCGAGGAAUUGCAGACAGCGUGUAACUGAAGUUGUGAAAUGCAGUGCAUGACUCCAUUUCACAAGCUAAGCUACGACCCAACUUCGAUCAGAGAAAAAGUAACAGCAGAUGCAGCAAUGGCGAACGGUAUGCAACAUAAGAGAAAAAGAACGUGAUGGAAAAUUUCAAGAUUCCAAACAAAACCGAUCGAAAACGAGACUAAGCAAAACUGCCAUUACAGUAAGGAAGAACGAGCCUGAAUUUCCAAAGGUUGCAUGGGUUUCAGUGGUACCUGAGUUGGAAGCGCAAUGCGGACGAGAAGCUUAAUAUUCUUCAGACGAAAUCCGGCCUGCCUGCCUGCCUGAUGCCUCCCUCUCAGAGACGAGCAGAAGCUCUUGGGCUCAUCCUAACAAGAUACUAGGCUCCAAAACCCAGCGAGCAGGCAGGUCGAGGGCCCUUAAAAGCGGCUGUUAUUUGCCUGCAAAUUAAGCUUCGUCAGGCCCCCACUGAGGCACUCAGUUCCCUCCCCCCUCUGCAAGUCUGCAUACAUAACAUACCUUUCCUUGUCCUCCUCCCCCCUUUGCUUCUAAGGAGGAUCUGCUCCCAUAUUAUUUUUUCCUCAUAUACAUGUGCUUUUUAAUCAGUCAGUCAUGGCUCAGCCUCAUGGGGCACACUGCUGUGCCGUGUCUUCUUUAAUUUACAGAUUGGAACAGUGCAUCGGCUUUCCCAAAGACAUAUGUUCUCGCCCUCAUCAGCGCCGAUUAAUCAUUGGUUAGUCUGUGUAUCUGUGGGUGAAUAUAUCACGUUAGCAUUUUGGCCAUGUGCUGAUGUGCUGAUGCAUGUGCACAUGUGUGUACAAAGGUGCCCGGUAUCUGACCGCUGCUCCACUUCGACACAGUAUAAAGCGGCAGAAUCUUAGUAGAGCUGGACGCUUUUGUACUGGCCACUGGCUACUGGCUAGCUGGUGAAGAAGGUUCCUAGUAGUGGUACACAUUGCUGUUUUCUGAUGCAGUGAGUAUUGAUUAGAGGACUGGAAAUGGAGGUGCUAUCAAGUCACGGCAGUGUUACUGUUCAGUGGCUUUUAACUAACUGCGGCAGCGUUACUGUUCAGUGGCUUUUAACUAGCUGCGGCAGUGUUACUGUUCAGUGGCUUUGAACUAACUAGUGCAGGUUCAGCAUAGUGGAACAGUGGAUGCCGAAGAAAGCAGCCAAAUGUAGCUACAGGACCAUGCAUUACGGCAUUGAUUAGCAUUUGGCGUUUACACAUCUCGUGCAGCACUGGCUAGCUAGUGGUUAAGUGGCAGUAGCCCGUAAGUUAAGUUUGAUCGUACCGCACUAACCAGUUGCUGCUUACUGCACCAAAAUGGUACAAUCGCACUGUAUAAGUACCUUCAGAGAGAAAAUCGGGAAGGGACAUGUAAGUCUGAUGCAGGAGUACUAGCACUGAUGAGUGAGCGGUUAGGCAAAAAUCAGAGCUCACAGGAUUGUUGUUCAUCAGAGAGAAAAAAGAGAAAAGAGCUCACAGGUUCGCGCCAUCAAAGCAGAGGAAGCAUCCAGGGAAAGCAGAGAGAGGGGAAGGCAUGAGUAUCGCUCAAGAGCACAUGACUUAGCACUGACUACUGCCAAAAGAAUAGGGGCUCAACUGGGCUAAACCCGGGGCAUGGCAGGCAUAAUUGUCUAUCAUGCCUAUGCCUUUGCAUCAACGCAGCGUGACUCGGACGGUUGCUCCCCGGCUUUCAGAUAAGGAGCGAGCAUCACACGGCGUGCAAUGAGACAGCUAAGCGUGCGCCGAGAGCUCGACCGCUUAAUCCGCUUACGUCUCCGUAUAUAAUUUGAAUGGUCCCAAAAUUGUUUGAAUUCAGCCAAAUUGUCUUUGUCCAUGAGUUGUGGCAGGUCAUCAUUCUUGCUCUGAGUGGCCAGUUGUCCUUGCUUGCACUUGUCAUGUUCCAUGCUUGGUGCAGAGGAUAUGGGCGUAAGUGCCAUUUGAAUGUAACAUCAGAGUGAGGUUUCAGUUUCACAAGCUUGGGAUUCAGUGCUGCAAUUUAUUUUGAUCGGCUGAUUCAGUUCCUGGAAAGGAAGUUUCCGUUCUUUAGGCUUCAGCAUAACUUUGCUUGGAUCGGGGAAUGAAACACUCAGAGAAUGCUAAGAUGCAGUUGCUUCAAAUAAGGCUCAGGAAAAGCAGCAUUUCGGCUUGUUUUAGAAUCUAUUCUCGUUCGAGACUUGAGAAUUUGUCAAAGUGGAAUCACACUUUCCUCUUUUAAAGCUCUCAUAAACGGGGCGGGGCAAUGCAACCCUUACCUUCCAUGAGACAGAUGCUUCUUGUUGGGCCAAGAAAACAAAAUAAGCAUCCCUGUCAUCUGUAAUAAGCUUACCGGAAAUAUAUUUGGUACUAUUAGUUUCGAGAGUAGCAUAUACACCAUGGAGAUCAUCCACAUAUUCAGCAAGACGAUGGUACUGAUAUUGGAAUUAUCGGCCAUGAAGGAUAUGGAUGGGUACAUGUACAUAUUAAGAUAUAGUACAAAAUAAGAAGAAAAAAAGGGAAACAUAACGGUUUCGAAAAUAAACGUGAUUUGACUUCAGUUGCAGCACAAUGUCAUGUAUUUGGAAGAAUGAUUCAGGAAAGGUUGUGUCAGAUGACAGAAGGGGAUAGGCGCAUGACUAUUUCCCAAAGGUAAAUUCAGAUAUACGCCGCUUUGAAAUGUCCGUUUCCGAUUACGAUAUUUGUACCGCUGCGAACCGAUGGUUUGGAAAAAUGUCAUCGCAAACUCAACAUCUUCUGAACAACUUCUGUCACUGUAUCUGUUGGGUCAGGAAUACUGUUGAAAGAAACAACACCAUCGGUUUUCGCUCCAAGUCUCACAAUGCGUCACCAUUAGCAGCUAAGGUGUCAGCAAAGGGCGAUUUUUGUGAUUGCUGAGUCUUAACACCGGUACUCAACCACAAUUAUUGUCCACUACAAAAGCUUGUUAGCUAGGCUGUUUGCAGUAAUAGGCCUAUCACUGAAAGUAGGUGUCACCUAAUGGGCAUAAUUUGGUCACUCAGACUCAAAGUGAUAAUAGUUGAAGGCUGCCAGUGGAGAGGUAAUUGAAGCUCACUGCCUAUGUAGAUAAAAAGGAUGCAUGCAUGAGUAGUUUCUUGUAAAAAGAUCCCUAGUGGUGGAUACAUUGUGUAUGUGGACUUUAACUAGAACUCUGUGAUGGGAUUAUACCUUGAAGCAGAAGGAACAUGCAUGUCAUGACUCAUGAAGUCAUGAUAGUAAUCAAGGUUGUUGCUAGUGUUGCUUGGUGAUUAGGUCUCAUUCACUCUAGCUUAUCCAAGUUGCUGAUGACAUAUUGAUUCUUUUCUCUGCGUGUGAAUCAACAUUGGUAUUUUUUUAAUAAGAUUAUGAACAGGAUGUGCCCUGGCAGGUAAUGUGCAUGUUUAGUUCUUCUUGCUUUUGAUCUAGAGCACGCAUUCUUAAUGUAACAGAACAUGUGCCUUUGGCAACCAAGUUAAUUUCAAGAAGAUUUUUGUGGUCAAAUUUACUUUUGACAAAUAUUAGACCGCGAGACAAAAACAGUGACAUGUAUCAUAUAAUAGAUCAUAUGAUAUUGUGACAUCUCUUUGUGUCAGUGGGACAGAUGAACAAAGCUUGAAAGGAAGAGACCGGUAUAAGGGGAACCAUCAGUCAAUCACCAUUAGUUUGUUCUGCUUGUCUGAACUUAAGUUGAAAGCAAUCCUGGAAAUCCCAACAACCAGCUCUGCAGAAUUGAUAGAUAACAUCAAUAGAUAAUCUAACAUUAUAUGUCAGCAUUAUAUCAUCUUUUACUAAAGAAGAAACCAUGCUAUAUUCCUCCUUCUCCGAUGUCGGCAAAAUGACACUGUAAGGAAUUGACAGGUGUAAAUUUGAUUUGACAAACUAAGUUUUGUUGCCAAUUUUGCAGCUGCAUACUCACAAUAACUAAACUGCAGCUUAACUGUACCAUCACCAAGUCAAAUAUGCUAUACAAUUGAACACACGCUUGCAGGAAGUUGCCAAGACAGUACAGAUAGGUGGCAUGCUUUGUUUGCCGAUUAACACAUGAUCCUUAGUUUCUAAGGCAAAUCAAGAAUAAAAGAAUCAGCAUGUGCUCAAUAGGAUGUCACAGAAUACAUACAAGGGGUAUGGUAAAGGUAGGUGAUUGUGCAAAAUGUAACCAGUACAUGUUUGUAUAUUUUUGACUAUUGUAUUCAGAGAAGUGUCUUUGGAAAUGACAUGGACUAACUAGCCAUCCUUCUCAUCAUACCGACCAAAACUAGAGGGUUCCAUACUUAGAAAACCUUUAUUGCAUGAUUCUCAAAUGUGAGAAUACCCAUACGAGAAACACUUAGAGCUUAAGUAUCAACUUUUAUUAAUUGUGGAACCUGGUUUGACAAUACCACCUUCAGUAGGUUGUCAAAUCCACCAUCUUUACAGGUGGCUGACGGAAGAAGUGGAUGAAUAAAUUUUUGGGGGAAUGUUUGGGACAACAUAAUUUCAUAGGAAAUAGUUCAAUCUGGAACCCAGAAAAUUUCUUGCGUUCCAAACCGGACCUUCUAAGAGGCUUAGAUUAGUGAAUUACUCCUGCUCAAUGAUUCACACUGGAAAUAGGUAUUCCAAUACUGAUAGUUUUCUGAAAAUUGGAUAAUUGCUUCAACCAAGCACAAAGGUUACACAAGAAUUCAGUAAACAGUUCUGACUAAUACCAUAGUUAUGCUAUAUAACAUAACAAUAACAUUUACAUAUGACAAUAGUAGUGCAGCUUACCUGGGUGCCCCAGAAUAAUGCCGGCACCUUAUCUAAUCUAGAAACAUGCCGUCAAGAUUUGAGCAGUUGACUAAUUGACCACCCACAGAUACAGCUAACACUGUCCAUCACCAAGUGAUUCCAAACACUGAGACAUCAAAGGACAUGCACCAUUCAAGUACUUAGUGUAAACACACAUACGCCACAUAACAUAACAUCAGAGAAGACUUUGGACAUAAGGUGGUUCUCUAAUUUUUCAAGUACCGCCUCUGGAGCAUUUCAGUUCUCAGCUAAGCGACAGGAGCGGCAGCAGACUGAGCAGAAUGCGCAUCCUUAGGCUGACCAGGAGGCGGCGGGUACCGUGGCACAUAAGGAAGAAGAGGAGUGCCAUGCUCGAUUGGAGCUGGCCUGAUACUUGCCUUCGAGCUUGGACUUGGGUCAAU
rnacentral:lncRNA from 1 species